UACAGAGAGCAUUUAUCUAGUUUGAACCAGCAGACAAAUGAGAGCAGGAAGAGGGCAAACUCAUUUCAAAGGAACAUUUUGUGCAUCUGUUCGCAGCGAGGUCCCAUCUCACAUCCAUGUAUGGAUGGAUAACAGAUAAAUGGGAUAAUGAGGAGGAUGAGACGUUCAGAUAUCUGUCCUACAGACGAUCAUCAUCGCAGAAGCCAGAGGAGGAUUUGUGCACGUACAGUGCAUGCACGCACAGCUGCAGAGAUCCCUCUUCAGAAAACCAAGACAUCAGGAGCAGCGCAGCACAAUUUGGAGCAGGCCUAUUUAUAGCUGGCUACCGCCACCACCACCCUGCAGCCUGAAAGUCACACCAGGAGAUUUUGGGAGGGGAGUCCUUGAGCUCCUCUGUCAAUGCGAAGCAUUGCGAUGACAAGUUUGCAGAUGAGGCUGCUCACCGUGAAGUCUGCACUGCACCGUCCCCUGCCUAAAGCACAAGGCUACAUCCUUCAAAGACACAGCAUGCAAGUACAUACUCUCAGAGAUCCAGUGCAUGCCUGUGC